rnacentral:rRNA from 1 species
UACGAAGGGGGCGAGCGUUAUUCGGAAUCACUGGGCGUAAAGCGUGCGUAGGCUGUCUAUAAAGUUGGAAGUGAAAGCCCAGGGCUCAACCCUGGAAUUGCUUUCAAAACUACUAGACUCGGAUUUGGGAGAGGAUAGCGGAAUUGUCAGUGUAGCAGUGAAAUGCGUAGAUAUUGACAGGAACACCAGUGGCGCAAGCGGCUAUCUGGACCAACAUCGACGCUGAGGCACGAAAGCGUGGGGAUCAAACAGG